rnacentral:rRNA from 1 species
UCUACGGGAGGCAGCAGUGAGGAAUAUUGGUCAAUGGGCGCGAGCCUGAACCAGCCAAGUAGCGUGAAGGAUGACUGCCCUACGGGUUGUAAACUUCUUUUAUAAAGGAAUGAAGUGAGGCUCGUGUGCCUUUUUGUCUGUACUUUAUGAAUAAGGAUCGGCUAACUCCGUGCCAGCAGCCACGGUAAUACGGAGGAUCCUAGGGUUAUCCGGAUUGAUUGGGUUUAAAGGGAGCGUAGAUGGGUUGUUAAGUCAGAUGUGAAAGUUUGCGGCUCAACCGUAAAAUUGCAAUUGAUACUGGCAGUCUUGAGUACAGGUGAGGUAGGCGGAAUGUGUGGUGUAGCGGUGAAAUGCUUAGAUAUCACGAAGAACUCCGAUGGCGAAGGCAGCUUACUAAACUGCCACUGACAUUGAUGCUCGAAAGUGUGGGUAUCAAACAGGAUUAGAUACCCUUGUAGUC